GAGAAACCAAGAAAGAACUCCAAUGAGUCAGGGUUUGUAAAGGGAAUUGGCAUUGAUACUUAAAGCAUUCUCGGGGUGGAUGUGGAAAACAUCACAUUGGCAUGGUCUUGACUCUGAAGGCUGAUAGAACGAUAAGGAAUUUGGAGAGAUUGAGGAGAAAACUGGUCAAGUAAGGGCCAAGCCAGACCAUUAUUUUCAGUUUGAGAAAUGAAGAGAGAAAACAGUUGCAUACACCCUCAGUGACACACUCCGGAACCAAAAUUCCACAGAGAACAAGGAGAGAAACUUUCCAGGCGGUGAGCUCUGCACACCCUUGGGUUUUCCAUGUGGUUCCGGGGAAGGCGGGCUUCUGGGAUCCACAGAGAGUGUCAGGACAUCGGGCCAACUCCCCCAAACACCUGGGAUCCACAUGGCGAAGGACUAGAGAUCCUUUGGCACAAAACUCCUCAAACAAACGCUAAGUUGGGAAUUCUAAGGACUUUGAGUCUUCAUGUCUUCCACAUUCCUUCCUUGUCUCUUCCUUCCCACCCCAUUUCCUCCCCUCCCUUCCUCCCUCUCUUUCUUUUUUCCUCCCUACAGGCCCUUUGAUUGGGUUUUACUGAUUCCAGGCUGGCUCCAUGGAUAAGAGUAACCUUGACCUUCCAACAUCCACCUCUCAAGUGCCAGGAUUGCAGGCGUGCACAACCAUUCCUGGCCCUCUAAUCUUUUCUAAUAAGGUUGGCGGCAGCCACCUUGUGCCUCGGGGGUGGUGUCAACUCUUCCCUGGUGGGCGUUAAUUCCUAACUUAUUAGAAUGCAUGGAAGGCGUCCACUCCGGGGCCUCGACAUUCUCCACUUACCCUCCUUAUCCUGCUUGGUAGAGGUGGUGCAUUUUCACCCUCAAGGCAAACCUUCCACAUCUGAUCUCAGAGGGCAAAUGCUAUGUCUCUUAGAAGCCGAUGAUCCAACUUCCUAAGCAAGCAGCCCCAGGAGAAGUACAAACACAUUGGCAUUUGUAAACCUCUCCCUGUCUCACCCCCAGCAAGACCAAGAAGAGGGUUGUCUUUGAACAUUUCCUGUCUGGACCAGAUCAUUCUAAUCCCUACCCCUGAGUCUCCCAGAUCUAAACACGCCUUUAACAGAAGCAUAGAAAAGUU
rnacentral:lncRNA from 1 species